rnacentral:lncRNA from 1 species
AUCCCUCCGCUUCGCUUGAAAAGAAGUUAGAAGAUCUCAUAAAGCGGGAGGGAGAGCGAGUGCGCGAGAGAGAAGAGAGACAGAGAAAUCGGAUCAUAGCCGUUGAUCUGGUUUUGGCACGUCGAAUCUCAGCCAUCCGUAUCAUCAUCAACGGCGUGUUGCUCCCUUCGCGGCUGAUGCCGUUCUAUUCUUGAUCUCCGGUGAGUUUUCUGAUCAAUUUGGCAUCUGAAUCCGCGUUGCUUUGCUUAUUUUCUGCUUGCUUCCUGGAUGAAAUUGGAAAUUUAAAAAAAGAAAAGGAAGAAAGGAAUUUGAAUCGAUUGAAUUUGAUCGUGUAAAACGGUUAUAGACGUCUUCUGUUUUGAUCUGAUCUUAUUGUUUAAUAGUGAGUUAAUGUCUACAGAGGUCGGAUAAUGAUUGAAUUGCAAUAAGUUCGUCGGAGAAGAUAACCAAUUCUUGCGAUUUUUCUGUUUGUUUUUCUUUCCUUUGGUUGCUUUUGCUGUUCCUGUCGACGUCGCUGUUUUUUGAUAAUGAUGAUGAUCUGCCGGUUUUCAG